rnacentral:lncRNA from 1 species
UGAUGGUGGUGGUGGCGGAGGCGAUGAAGGCCCCGCUGAUGAUGAUGAUGGAGGAGGAGGAGGGGAUGAAGAUUGAAGGGAGGGGCUGAGGAGGAGGAGGAGGAGGGAGAGGCCGGAAAUGGUGAUGAAGGCCCCGAGGAUGAUGAUGGUGGAGGUGAUGAAGAUGAUGAUGGUGGAGGUGAUGAAGGCUCCGAUGAUGAUGGUGGUGGAGGUGAUGA